rnacentral:rRNA from 1 species
UACGAAGGGGGCGAGCGUUGUUCGGAUUUACUGGGCGUAAAGGGCGCGUAGGCGGCUUAACAAGUCACUUGUGAAUCUCCGGGCUUAACUCGGAACGGCCAAGUGAAACUGUCAAGCUAGAGUGCAGGAAGGGCAAUCGGAAGUUCUUGGAUGUAGCGGUGAAUGACGUAGAUAUCAAGAGGAACACCUGAGGUGAAGACGGGUUGCUGGGCUGACACUGACGCUGAGGCGCGAAAGCCAGGG